rnacentral:rRNA from 1 species
AUUGAACGCUGGCGGCAGGCCUAACACAUGCAAGUCGAGCGGUAGAGAGGAGCUUGCUUCUCUUGAGAGCGGCGGACGGGUGAGUAAUGCCUAGGAAUCUGCCUGAUAGUGGGGGAUAACGUCCGGAAACGGACGCUAAUACCGCAUACGUCCUACGGGAGAAAGUGGGGGCUCUUCGGACCUCACGCUAUCAGAUGAGGCUAGGUCGGGUUAGCUAGUUGGUGGGGUAAAGGCUAACCAAGGCGACGAUCCGUAACUGGUCGGCGAGGAUGAUCAGUCACACUGGAACUGAGACCCGGUCCAAACUCCGACGGGAGGCAGCAGUGGGGAAUAUUGGAGAAUGGGCGAAAGCCUGAUCCAGCAAUGCCGCGUGUGUGAAGAAGGUCUUCGGAUUGUAAAGCACUUUAAGUUGGGAGGAAGGGUCGUUACCUAAUACGUGACGAUUUUGACGUUACCGACAGAAUAAGCACCGGCUAACUCUGUGCCAGCCGCCGCAGUAACAC